UACGUAGGAGGCGAGCGUUGUCCGGAAUUAUUGGGCGUAAAGAGCUCGUAGGCGGUUUGUCGCGUCUGCUGUGAAAACUCAGGGCUUAACCCUGAGCUUGCAGUGGGUACGGGCAGACUAGAGUGCGGUAGGGGAGACUGGAAUUCCUGGUGUAGCGGUGAAAUGCGCAGAUAUCAGGAGGAACACCGGUGGCGAAGGCGGAUCUCUGGGCCUUACCUGACGCUGGAGGCGCGAAAGCCUAGGGGAGCGAACAGG
rnacentral:rRNA from 1 species